rnacentral:rRNA from 1 species
GACGAACCUUGCUAACGUUAUUCGGAAUUACUGGGCUUAAAGGGUGCGUAGGCGGCGCAGCAAGUUGGGUGUGAAAUCCCUCGGCUCAACCGAGGAAUUGCGCUCAAAACUACCCGACUCGAGGGAGAUAGAGGAAAGCGGAACUGAUGGUGGAGCGGUGAAAUGCGUUGAUAUCAUCAGGAACACCGGUGGCGAAGGCGGCUUUCUGGGUCUUACCUGACGCUGAGGCGCGAAAGCCAGGGGAGCGAACGGG